rnacentral:rRNA from 1 species
GAUGAACGCUGGCGGCGUGCCUAAUACAUGCAAGUCGAGCGAACGGACGAGAAGCUUGCUUCUCUGAUGUUAGCGGCGGACGGGUGAGUAACACGUGGAUAACCUACCUAUAAGACUGGGAUAACUUCGGGAAACCGUAGCUAAUACCGGAUAAUAUUUUGAACCGCAUGGUUCAAAAGUGAAAGACGGUCUUGCUGUCACUUAUAGAUGGAUCCGCGCUGCAUUAGCUAGUUGGUAAGGUAACGGCUUACCAAGGCAACGAUGCAUAGCCGACCUGAGAGGGUGAUCGGCCACACUGGAACUGAGACACGGUCCAGACUCCUACGGGAGGCAGCAGUAGGGAAUCUUCCGCAAUGGUCGAAAGCCUGACGGAGCAACGCCGCGUGAGUGAUGAAGGUCUUCGGAUCGUAAAACUCUGUUAUUAGGGAAGAACAUAUGUGUAAGUAACUGUGCACAUCUUGACGGUACCUAAUCAGAAAGCCACGGCUAACUACGUG